GAAUUGCGUUAGGGAUUGCAGUGUAAAUCCUUUUGUUUUUUUCUUUAAAAAACAAAAGAUUGAAACGAAAAGCCCGACCCUUG
rnacentral:sRNA from 1 species